UACGGGGGGGGCAAGCGUUGUUCGGAAUUACUGGGCGUAAAGGGCUCGUAGGCGGCCAACUAAGUCAUACGUGAAAUCCCUCGGCUUAACCGGGGAACUGCGUCUGAUACUGGAUGGCUUGAGUUCGGGAGAGGGAUGCGGAAUUCCAGGUGUAGCGGUGAAAUGCGUAGAUAUCUGGAGGAACACCGGUGGCGAAGGCGGCAUCCUGGACCGAUACUGACGCUGAGGAGCGAAAGCCAGGGG
rnacentral:rRNA from 1 species